rnacentral:rRNA from 1 species
AGUACAGUGGCGUACGGGUGAGUAACACGUGGGGAGUCUACCUUCGGGUGGGGGAGUAAACUCUGGGAAACCGGAAGCUAAUACCGCAUAAGCAGGGAACUGGAAAGCCGAAAGGCGCCGGAAGAGGAGCCCGCGGCCGAUUAGCUAGUUGGUGAGGUAACGGCUCACCAAGGCAAUGAUCGGUAGCUGGUCUGAGAGGAUGAUCAGCCACACUGGAACUGAGACACGGUCCAG